AUGCUGGCCUAGCUAUAAUGUCCACAUCCCAUAAAAGAAAGAAAUAAAAAGGUGUCAUCUGGUGAGACUGCUCCAUCAGCUAAGUUUGACACAGAUACAACAUCCUCAAGGGCAUCAACAAUAUCACUGAUGGAUGGGAUGAAGUCACAAUGCUGUGGUGGAUAUUGUGGCCUGAGUGAACAAGAACGAUCUCACGAUACUGUCCCUGAGCUUCAGCGUGGAAACAGGACCUUUUCAAAAUGGGUGAGGCUGAAGUAGAGGAAUUGAUUACAUUCCACAGAGCGGAGUGUUGAGAGCUUAAUGCUGCUAGUGAGUAAACAAGCUGGAAAGAAAAGCAGUGAAGCACUGCCAUCCACCUGAGUUUGUCAAAGAAACAACUGUCAAGAGCCUUCCAACUCCUGGAUGAAGUGAUGGAAAUCUUCACAGCCAACGACCCAAACAGACAGUGCAGUUCAAGAGCAAACCAAGGAAUCAAUGAUACCAUUAACUACUACAAGAUCUGCAGGAUAGAAUAAAUGUGACCUCUUCAGGAGGGACUGUCUUACGGGAAGAGAAGUUUGGGCCUGUAUUCUUUGGAAUUUAGAAGAAUGAGAGAUGAUCUUGUUGAAACACGUAAGACUCUUGGGGAACUUGAUGGGGGAGAUGUGGAAAGUCUGUUUCCUCUUAUUGACCAGAUGGCAUAAUCUCAGAAUGAAGGGUUGCGCAGUUAAGACAAAGAUGAAGAGGAACUUCUUCUCACAGAGGGUAGUCAGUCUGUCGUAUUCUUUACUACAGAGGGCUGUUGAGGCUGGGUCCUUAAGUAUAUUCAGGCCUGAGGUGGGCAUAUUUUUAACAUGUAAUGGAAUCAAGGGCUAUAGGGAAAUUGCAGGAAAGUGAAAUGAAGGAUUAUCGGAUCAGCCAUGAUCUCACUGAAUGAAAGAGCAGACUCAGCAGGCUGAAUGGCUCCUACAUCUUAUGGUCUUAUCCAUACAUAAACUUUUCAAGCCUGUUUGUGAUGCCAGCUAUUCCUAUUUCCUCCAGUAGGAAUCUAGCUGCUGCAUACUGCCUGAAAUUAAAAAGUAGUGUAGUCUUCUAAAGAUCUUCAAAUUCCAGUGGUAAGACAGGCAGUGCAACAGUAAGGUUUACUCCAAUCAAAACCCCCAGCAUUGAGGCAUAGCAUGAUUCAAACUCACCUCCACUGACAUGCUUUAGGAAUGCCCACAAGCAUUUCUGAAGAUCCGAAACAUCUCCAGCAGCUACGGUUACCAGCCCCCAAAUGGAGACAGGUUCAUUUGGGAAGGCAGAAACACACAGAGCCAUUAACUUGUGAAGCAGCAUCGAACCACAGGAGGAAGAGUCUACAGAUUGCACAUUGAAAAAUCAACCAUCUCAGAACCCAUCAGCUCAGCAAAAGCAAGUUAAUCCUGAGUGGCUGAAACUGUAAAAACGUAUAAAAUGCUAACAGGACUAAACAGGGCAGACCGAGGAAGGAUGUUUCCAACAAUCGGGGAGUCCAGAACGAGCAGUCAGUCCAAGGCCCUCAGUAUCUGCAGCGGCAACACCGCAGCUGAGAUUUCCUGGAGAGUGAGCUGAGCGGACGAGAUUGGGACCCAGCACGGCUUAACACUCAAGAAAGUUUCAGUCUAUGGACAGAACAGUAAAUAGCAGGAUGCAAAAGGGGAUAAAUUAAACUGUCCACCUGCCACUCCACUUCAUCAGUGAACAUUGUAUAAAGGUCAGUUACCUAACAUUAUUGCUGGAACAGAGGGAUUUUGACUUUUGGUUUUGUUGCAUCAAUGCUGUUCAUAUUUCCAGCUAACCUUAAUUAUGCAUUCUCAAUUAAAUCCAGACACAAAACCCUGAAUGAUUACCACCACAAUAAAGUUGAAAAUGAAAUGCUGAUUGAGUGUGAAUGUUGGAAGUUGCACUUAGCAUACCACUUCCUCCUUUAGAUAAGUAAGAGUGCCUGACACCUCUGCCAUAUAUGAAGGGGUAAGUAUGUGGUCACAUCUUUAUGUAAGUAAAAAUCAACUGCCAUUUACGAUCUGUGACCAACGUUCACUGUAACACUAGAUGAAAACACCAAAGAACUGAGGAUGCUGGAAAUCAGAAACAGAAAUUGCUGGAGAGACUCAGCAGGCCUGGCAGCAUCUGCGGAGAGAGAAAGCAGAGUAAACAUGUUGAAUCCAGUGACUCUUCUUCUGUUAAACUGGGUGUGCAUAGUUUGGUUGUUGCAAUUUACAACUUCUUUAAGACCAUGCCCGAACACAACUUAAACCCUAGAGGGAAAAUGACUGGCAACCACGCCGUUUUCUGCUUGGCUCUGUAGUCAGUGCAUAGACUCACGAGCAUUUGGAACUGGCAUCAGGGCCAAGAUAAAUUGAGGAAAGAAUGAGGCCAUGCUCUUUAGGAACUGGGUCAAACGAUCCUUUAAUCCCUUCACCAUUGGGACAGAUUACCUGAAGAUGCUGGUUUGGAAGGGCUGCAGCAUGUGCAAGCAGCAUAGGAGGAGUGCAUUACUAGGGUGAAGCAGAAACAGGGCAGAUGGGAGAACCACUGUGAAUCUAUCGCAGGUAAAAACCUGGUCAUAAAUGUGAGCUACUCUUUGUGUUCUUGCAUGUGGUGCAGGUCUACACCACUACAAUCACUUGAGCCAUCUUCCACUUCAUCUGGAGAUCAAAGAUGGACUGUGUCCGCAGGGACUCUCGGUAAAAAAACCCCCUGAAAUUAUGAGGGUGGGGGGGGGAGGAUGUAUCCAACGCUGCCCUCAUCCUGGCAGCUGUGUGUAGACCCUCAGUACACAGACACACACUAAGUAUCACCAUGUACUGAGGUUCUAGCUGUCCCCAGUGUUGCAAAGGACAGUCAGGCCCCAUUUAUGUGGAAUGCCCUGAUAGUUGGACCAUUCCAUAUCAUCUGUCCCUCAUGGAGAGAUUUGCAAAGAGAAACACAUUUGACCACAGUCUGUCGGGAAGUGGUCAGCUUGUAGUGCCCUUGAGACACUUUGGGAAAAGGAGAGGAUGGAUCCUGUCACAUGGUUCCCUGAGCAGACUGUUAAAGUCAUUUGGCAAAAUGCCUCAUCACCAGAACUUGCCCAUUUCAAACCCUUAUACAUUACAGGAAAAGUUAGUUUCGCACCUGAGGCAGAAAAGAAAUGAAAGGCUAUGCUGAUAGAGUGAGAUGAACGGAAGUUUGAGGAGAUGUUGUGUGGAGCAGUAAAAGGUCAACACAGUCAAAUUGGGCUGAAUGGCCUGUCUCUGCACUGCAUAUUCCAUGUAUCAGAAGCUCUUGAAUGUUUGCACUCUGAUCGAGAAAUGAAUUAAAUUUGUUCUCCGACUUGCAUCUUUUGUUCUAGUUCAGUGAAAAUAUACUCAUUCACCAUAAGCACAUAAUACAUUCUCAUUUUAAUGCUGCAAAUUAGACAGCUGGCAUGCAAAAGAAAGCUUAGUAAAUGGUGCAGUUUGCUUGCAAAGGAUCAAUUUACCACAGAAAAAGAUUCAAGGAUAUAAUGUGAUGGCCCUUGCUUUCACUGUGCAUGUCAGAUUUGCUUCAUUGAUGAACUUCAUUUAGUACCAAUGUGCAAGGGAUAAAGGAUUGAGUUAAAUACAAGAAGUUCUGCAUAGUGCAUUGUAGAGAUGGCAUGGAUUGGAGGUAAAUUAUUCUCAAUGCCAUCAGAGUUACAAAAUACUCCUCUUAAAAAUGUCCAUAGAUCCAGUUUGUGUUUGCAGGAAGAAUAAUUGCAAUAUGAAGAGCAGAAUAAAUUAAAAGUUAAUAUACUGCAAUUUCAGCACAGUGAGAGGUUGGAUUAUUCUCUUUAGAUGCACAUUGACAGCAUUUCAUGUUACGCUCUGUUCUUACAAAUCAUUCCUUAAAUGUUUGUCUUUUUCAAUUACAGAGCUGAAGUUCAAUAAUGAACUGUUAUUGUACUUACUAGGGAUAGUAGCUGUGAUGUGGAGGUGCCGGUGUUGGACGGGAAAGGACAAGGUCAGAAAUCGCACAACGCCAGGGUUAUAGUCCAACAGGUUUAUUUGAAAUUACAGGCUUUUGGAGCAUUGCUGCUUCAUCAGGUGAAGUGAAGAAAAGCAAACAGGCACAGAAUUUAUAGGCAGAGAUCAAAAUAUCUUACAAAUGGCGUGAAUAGAGUGUCAACAGGCUGAAUAAGUGUCUGCAAGUGACCAAGAGUGUCCGACGGUGUGAGCAAUGUGCCAGCAGCUGAAUAACAAGCAAAGGGAUGACCUAUAAUCCAAUUAAUUGAGGUGGAGAGAUAGUUGCAAAUUUAAAAAUAAGGUGGUGCCGGAAACAAACAACAGUCGCAUGUCAGGAGUCUAACCAAAGUAAUAAAUAAUCCAAAACUGUACAAACUAGUUAUAGUAGAGAGAUCAUAACAAAUUAUCAAGGUGAUGAUGUCAAAACAGGACAGGAAGAAAGAGUUUACAGAUACAGAACAGUGUGCUGGGAUCACAUGUAGCAUGACAUGAACCCCAGAUCACAGUUGAGGGUAUGGAACUUGGCUAUCAGCCUCUGCUUGGUGACUCAGCAUUUUUAAAUUAAUGACAGCAGUUAAAAGAGAAGUUGAGGGUGAGGGCAAGCUCAGCCAAAUGGAGGAGGGUGGUGGUAGAUGGGGAUGAUUCAGGCUUUGCUCCAGGAAGAAGCUGAAAGCCCUGAGACCAUUUGUUGGGGGAUGUAUGUGUGAAGGGAUUGCGCGUCCAUGAUAAAGAGGCUGGAACCUGUAAACUGGAAAUUCAGAAACUGGUGUAAAGCAUUAGAGGAGUCACAGAUGUGUGUGGGCAGGGACUGGAGCAGGGGAGAGAAGACUGAGACAAGACAGGAAGAGAUGAAUUCUGUGGGGCAGGAGCAGGCUGAAACAAUGAGUCUGCCUGAACAGUCCUGUUUGUGGAUGUUUGGAAGGAGGUAGAAGUGAGCUGUGUGGGCUGGGAUACUAUCAGCUCGGAGGGAGUCUGGAGGAGAUCACUGGAUGAAGUGAGGUUAGUUACCAGAGCUGAUACAAUGGACUGAUGUGCCAUAGUCCUGGGGAGGAUAGGAGGAGGUAUCUGAGAACUGGCACUCAGCCUCUGCAAUGUAGAGGCCAGUAUGCCAGACCACAACAGCACCACCCUUAUCGGCAGGCUUAAUAACAAAGAUCUAAGCUCAUGGAGUGCAGUCAGUUCAGGGGGAGCUAGGUUGGAUUGGGUGAGGGGAGGGGCAGAGAAAUUGAGGCAACCUAUGUUGAUCCUUGAACAGAUCGUGUGCUGUAAAAGGCCAGAGGGAGGGGCCCAGGUGGGGGGACAGUGUUGGAAUUGGGCAAAGGGGUCUGCAGAAGAAGAGUUUGACAUCAUGUCAUGCCCGAAAUUCGAUAAGGAUGAAGCUGAGGCCUUUGCUGAGUACAGAACGUUCAGUAUGGGACAGCUGAAGGUUAGGAAGGAUGAUGAAUACU